AAAUACUCCAGGCAAAAUUGCAUUUCUCACAGGAAGGAGCCUGCAAUUUACCUCCACAAUGCUCCAGGCUUCUAAUAGCCACCCUAGAGGUACUGUGUUGCUGCCCUGAAGACCUGUCUGACAUUGAAAUGACAUUCUGGGAAAGUCUGUCUACAGCUUGAAGAGGCCAAUUCUAUAUACAGCAAACUAUCCCUCUGGCUGAUUCCUGCUGAUACUCUCCAAAUGAAAGAUGGGUGAGAGCCAAGAGGCAGAAGGAGAAUGUAGAUUAAAGUGGAGAAAAAAGAAGAAAACAAAAACUGAAGCGUGGAGCAGUGCCUCUUUUAUGUCAAAAUAAAACUCAAAAAUGAAGUAGCAGCCAGAAGAUGAAAAAGAAUAACAACCACUACACAAUUCAAGAAAUAUGAGGGGAAGAAAGGUUGCUUCUCUGCAAGACUGUGUGCUGAGCUCAAAGAGAAAAAGAAACCCUGAGACUGCUCUUGCCCUCAUUCUUCCCUAGCAAUAGCUGCUGAUUUGUUGACUCUGCCAUGUGACCUUUGCAACCACUUAGCUGCCUUUUGUUAACAUGUCAAACACUGAAGUUUCUUCUUUAAUCACCACCAGCAGAUGAUUCAGUGAAAAUUUAAAAUGGAUUCACUGAUGGCAUCAAAAUGGCAGAGUAGGAGCAAUCUGGCUUCACUCUCCCUCAUAGAAAAGCAAAAACAACUAUCUAGUGCCAAGAUUAUCACCCGGAAUAUUCCAAAACUUAAAACUGAGGCUGCGACAAUCCCUAGAGCCUCAGAGAAGUGAAAAACCAGGAGCAGAAGGUAGGGGAAAUGAAUUUCUUUAACCUUGAUGCCCCUCCAGCAAGCUGCCAGGCACCACAUGGAAAACUGCCCCUAGACUUCUUUCUACACUGAAAAAGUGUAGCCUCUACAAUGGAAAAACUGAGAUCAAGGCAGACAGCUGGCUUCUCCACCAUCCUGGGUUCCUUAGAAGGAAAAACAUUCCUGCCUUAACCCAAGGGAAUCAUUGCAAGUGCCUGUAGGGUAAAAACUCCUUAGGUCAGCCAGAGACAAAAAGUGGAGGUGAGGCUAGCAGCAGUCAGCAUGCAAAAUCUGGUGGCUGCUCUUCAUUUCUACCUAGGGAGGCAUAAAUCAGAAAGGCUCUUCAGCAGGAUCAUGCUAUAGGAGGCAUUAUCCAUGACUGCUUUGGGCACAAACCUUCGCCAGCCUUCCCAGACAGCCAUGUAUCCACUUUGGAUCCCACCCCCAGGCCCAUCCAAAAAUAGGCACUAUGCAAAACUCAGAACCUGUGAAAGAGCUAGAGCAAAGAUUAGCUUAGGGCACCAUCUAGUGCUGAGAAGGAGUCAGCAAUCUUGAGAUAAGGCACCUUAACAGUCUGCCUAGGACCUUUAGACAUAUAUACUCUAGAAAGAUCAACACAAAGCAAGACAGACAGAGAAGCCUGGAAUAAAUACCUAAUACUUCAGUGCAAAGACAUAAAAAUACAUCCAAAAUAAGCAAGAGCAAACAGGAAACUGUGGCCUCAAAAAUUAACAAAAUAAGAAACCAAUGACUGACCCUAAUAGGAUGGCAAUGUGUAACCUCUCAGAUCAAGAAUUUAAAAUAGUAGUUUUGGGGAAACCCAGUGAAUUUCAGAAUAACACAGAAAAGCAAUUCAGAUAUUUAUCAGAUAACUUUAACAAAGAUAUUGAAAAAAAAACUUAAAAAUCAAACAGAAAGCCUAAAGCUGAAAAAUGUGAUUAAUGAACUCAAAAAUACAAUAGAAGGUCUCAACAACACAAUUGAUCAAGCAGAAGGAAGAAUCAGCAAGCUCAAAGAUAAACUAAUUGAAAAUAGAGGAGAAAAAAUUAAAAAGAAUGAAAAGAAACAAAGCUUACAGGUCCUAAGGGACAACAUCAAAAGAGCAAAUAUAAGGGUCACUGAAGUUCAAGAGAGACUUGAAAAUGACAAAGAGGUAGAAACUUAUUCAAGUAAAUACUAACAGAAAAUGUUCCAAACACGGAGAAAGAUAUAAAUAUCCAAGUAUAGGAAGGUUCAAUAUCACCAAAUAGAUACAAUAUAAAUAUGACUAUCCCAAGACAUAUUGUAACUAAACUCUCAAAGGUCAGUGACAAAGACAGGAUUCCGAAAGCAGCAUGAGAAAAGA
rnacentral:lncRNA from 1 species